rnacentral:precursor_RNA from 1 species
CAGCAUUUUGACUGUCAUCCCACUGCUUCCAGCUUCCAUGACUCCUGAUGGAGGAAUCACAUGAAUUCAUCAGAAUUCAUGGAGGCUAGAAGCAGUAUGAGGAUCAUUUACAUGUGAUAU